rnacentral:rRNA from 1 species
CCCUUAGAUGUUCUGGGCCGCACGCGCGCUACACUGAUUCAUGCAACAAGUUUUGUCCUUGGCUGAUAGGCCUGGGUAAUCUUUGAACGUGAAUCGUGAUGGGGAUAGAUGAUUGCAAUUAUUCAUCUUCAACGAGGAAUUCCUAGUAAACGCAAGUCAUCAGCUUGCAUUGAUUACGUCCCUGCCCUUUGUACACACCGCCCGUCGCACCUACCGAUUGAAUGGUCCGGUGAAAUCUUCGGAUCUGAGAGAUGUCUGACUAAUUUCGGACGCCUUUUGGAAAAGUUGCUUAAACCUUACCAUUUAGAGGAAGGUGAAGUCGUAACA